UACGUAGGGCGCAAGCGUUAUCCGGAAUUAUUGGGCGUAAAGAGCGUGUAGGCGGCCAGGUAGGUCUGCUGUGAAAACUCGAGGCUCAACCUCGAGACGUCGGCGGAAACCAUCUGGCUAGAGUCCGGAAGAGGAGAGUGGAAUUCCUGGUGUAGCGGUGAAAUGCGCAGAUAUCAGGAAGAACACCCGUGGCGAAGGCGGCUCUCUGGGACGGUACUGACGCUGAGACGCGAAAGCGUGGGGAGCGAACAGGG
rnacentral:rRNA from 1 species